UACGUAGGGGGCAAGCGUUGUUCGGAAUUACUGGGCGUAAAGGGCGCGCAGGCGGCCUGACAAGUCAGAUGUGAAAGCCCCGGGCUCAACCUGGGAAUAGCAUUUGGGACUGUUGGGCUAGAGAUCGGGAGAGGAGAGUGGAAUUCCCAGUGUAGAGGUGAAAUUCGUAGAUAUUGGGAAGAACACCGGUGGCGAAGGCGGCCUGCUGGGAUCUUGCUGACGCUGAGGCGCGACAGCGUGGGGAGCAAACAGG
rnacentral:rRNA from 1 species